GUCUCUGUGGCGCAAUCGUUAGCUGCUCGCUGUUAACCGAAAGGUUGGUGGUUCGAGCCCACCCAGGGACG
rnacentral:tRNA from 1 species